rnacentral:lncRNA from 1 species
GCCCCAAAAAGUAAAACCAGGGGAGGGAGACUGAGGCAGUAUAGCCAAGGCCUUGGAACAGCGUAAUUAGACAGCCAGCUUUGAAAAUGGGAAGGAAUUUACAUAGAAAGAAGGCGGGCAAAUAAUGAAGUUAUGACAGAACCCUGUUUUUAUAAGUGCCUGAAGGGCAGCUGGAAGGGACCUGGGUCUGGCCUCUGUGGGACAUUAAGAGGGCAUGAGUGUAAUCAGCUUCCAGUGAGGUCUCUAUCAAAUGAGGGCCUGGACUCUGACUGAUGCCUGGAAAGUUAGCCUCAAGGAGAGCUUUCCUCUCAUCAAAAAGUCAAGUGGCUGGAAGAGAUGGCUUCUGGCACUACACACCCAGGAGCUGGCUAUUUUCGAGAGUAGGAGGGGUUUCCCUGGGUGACAGGAAGGAUUGAAGUGGAGGAGAAAGAGUGUCAGGAAGAGAGCCAAGGACGAGGCUGGGCCAUGGCCAAUAUUCCAGGAUUGUUGGGACAGUGAACAGAUUUGAAGAAGUAA